AUUGAACGCUGGCGGCAGGCCUAACACAUGCAAGUCGAGCGAGCGGCGGCAGGGUGAGUAAUGUCUGGGAAACUGCCUGACGGAGGGGGAUAACUACUGGAAACGGCAGCUAAUACCGCAUACCAUCAGAUGUGCCCAGAUGGGAUUAGCUAGUAGGUGGGGUAACGGCUCACCUAGGCGACGAGCCCUAGCUGGUCUGAGAGGAUGACCAGCAACAGUGGACCUGGGACACGCUCCAGACUCCUACGGGAGGCAGCAGUGGGGAAUAUUCAAAAAUGAGGGCAGUCCUGAUGCGACCAUGCCGCGUGGGUGAAGAAGGCUUUCGGGUUGUAAAGCACUUUCAGCGGGGAGACGUUACCCGCAGAAGAAGCACCGGCUAACUCCGUGCCAGCAGCCGCGGUAAUAC
rnacentral:rRNA from 1 species